AGGUCACGGCAGUUUACUGCGGCGCCGCUUUGACGACCAGCCACACUGAGGCGGUCCUAAAAUCUGAAAUGGAAAACGGACGCACAGUGUGUCGAGUCGAGGCGAGUAGAGUCGAGCAGGUACCAGGUAAUGGAAAAA